rnacentral:rRNA from 1 species
CCUACGGGUGGCAGCAGUGAGGAAUAUUGGUCAAUGGACGAGAGUCUGAACCAGCCAAGUAGCGUGAAGGAUGACUGCCCUAUGGGUUGUAAACUUCUUUUAUAGGGGAAUAAAACAGGGUAUGCAUACCCUCUUGUAUGUACCAUAUGAAUAAGGAUCGGCUCACUCCGUGCGAGCAGCCGCGGUAAUACGGAGGAUCCGAGCGUUAUCCGGAUUUAUGGGGGUUAAAGGGAGCGUAGGUGGCUUGUUAAGUCAGUUGUGAAAGUUUGCGGCUCAACCGGAAAAUUGCAGUUGAAACUUGCAGUCUUGAGUACCGUAGAGGUUGGUGGAAUUCGUGGUGUAGCGGUGAAAUGCUUAGAUAUCACGAAGAACUCCGAUUGCGAAGGCAGCUCACUGGACUGCAACUGACGCUGAUGCUCGAAAGUGUGGGUAUCAAACAGGAUUAGAUACCCGUGUAGUC